CCAUUCCCCAAUUGAAGGGCAUCCAUGAUGCUAAGAGAAGAUAGAGGAGAUGGAGAGGAUGGACUAGAGGAAAGAGUAAAGGACCUGAGAGAGAAGGGAAGGUUCCUGGGGAGAUGCUAAGGAAGUAGUUCAGGUACUGAAUAAACACUGGAGGAUACCUAAAUCCUUUCUAAUCUGAUAUUAAUUCAUAUCUCCUCUGGUCCUCCCCUCUUUUUCUAUGCCCUCUCUUGAAACCACCCAAGCCUUUGCCUUCUUUGCCCUCUUUCUCUCCCAGUUCUUUCCUUCUCAAUCUCCUGGAAGUUCUACGAAGAGUAUAAUCUCUGCCAGUCUCCAUCCCUGUUCCCGAAUUGUUCCCACCCCACAUGCUACCUUCAGCCUACCUCCAUCUACCACCUAGUUCUCAAUCCACCUUCCAAGUCACAGACUGAUUCUUGUUCGUCCUGACUUAUUUUUCUAGGCACUGUGACUACAGGAUCCAACAUGAAACCACGGAAUUACUGGAUCUCAAUUGGCAUCCCAGUGGGUAUAGUCUGUGUUGUCCUCCUAGGGAUCGGAGUCCUGCUGUGUAAAGGAAAAAGGAAGAGACUUAAGCUGAAAGAAGAUGGAAGCAUCAGAUCCCAAAGCACAAUUUCUUACAAAGAUGCAGAAAUGGAAGGUCAUCCUAAACAGUGUAUUUGUGAUUUCAGUGUAUUUUCAAACAAAGUGUGUGAUGCUCUGGCAGAUGUAUGAUUUUGGAUUACUGUGUUGUAUAAGAGUUAUUAAGGGGGGCAGCUGGGUAGCUCAGUGGAUUGAGAGCCAGGCCUAGAGAUGGGAGGUCCUAGGUUAAAAUCUGGCCUCAGACACUUCCUAGCUGUGUGACCCUGGGCAAGUCACUUAACCCCUAUUGCCUAGCCCUUACCACUCUUCUGCCUUGGAACCAAUGCACAGUAUUUAGGGUUAAGCCACAUUUCUCCUGCCAAGGCUUUUCACCUACCCACCCACCCUCACAAAGCCACUUCUCCUGAUUCCUCUUGCUCCUGCUGCUAAAUUCCAUCAGCUUGCUUCUACUCUUGCUCCUGCUCCUGUUCCUGCUACUACUGUCUGAUCCUGCCUUCUGAGUUGUCCCAGCCAUCCACUCCUGACCUUCUCGACCCAGAUCGCUCACCGGCCCCAGCCCCAGCCCUGGUCCCACUGGUAAAAACUGAGGUGCUCUUUCCAUAGACAACAAUUAGCCUUCAUGUGGCAGGGGACCUUAGGGGGAGAAGGGGAGAAGGAAGUCACUCUUCCAAAUGGCAUAUUCUAUGAAAGAGCAGGACCUUGCCUAUUUCAAACAGCUUCCAAUGGAAUACUAUUGUGCUCAAAGGAAUAAUAAAGUGGAGGAAUUCCAUGGGGACUGGAACAACCUCCAGGAACUGAUGCAGAGUGAGAGGAGCAGAACCAGGAGAACAUUGUACACAGAGACUGACACACUGUGGUACAAGAGAACGUAAUGGACUUCUCCAUUAGUGGCAAUGCAGUGAUCCUAAUCAACUUAGAGGAACUUCUGAGGAAAACCACUAUCCGCAUCCAGAGGAAACACAAUGGGAGUAAAAACACUGAAGAAGAACAACUGCUUGAAUACAUGGAUCAAAGGGAUAUGGUUGGGGAUGUAGACUCUAAAUGAACAUCCUAGUAUAAACAACAACAUGGAAAUGGGUUCUGAUCAAGAACACAAGUAAUACCCAAUGAAAUUGUGCAUUGGUUUCGGGAAGAGUGGGUGGAGGGGUCAGGCCUAGAGAUGGGAGGUCCUAGGUUCAAAUCCGGCCUCAGCCACUUCCUAGCUGUGUGACCCUGGGCAAGUCACUUGACCCCCAUUGCCUACCCUUACCACUCUUCUGCCUUGGAGCCAAUACACAGUAUUGACUCCAAGACGGAAGGUAAGGGUUAAAAAAAAAAAGAGUGGGUGGAGGGGAAUAAUGUGAUUAUUGUAAUCAAGGAAUAAUCUAAAUUGACUAAAUUAAUUCAAAUAAAAAAUAAAGUGGCACCCAAGAUCACAAUAGAUUUUUGGUUGUCACAUCACAAUGAUU